rnacentral:RNase_P_RNA from 1 species
CCAGUCGGCCGGGCGGCCGCUCCGGGGAUCUCCCCGGGGAGGAAAGUCCGGGCUCCACGGAAAGACGGUGCCGGUCAACCACCGGCGAGGGCGACCUCAGGGACAGUGCCACAGAAAACAAACCGCUCUGUUGCGGACAUCGGAGAGAUCCGACGUCCGGUCGCGAGACGGAGAUCGCCUUCGGGCGGUUCCAGCGGAGCAAGGGUGAAAAGGUGGGGUAAGAGCCCACCGCGGACCCGGCGACGGGGACGGCAUGGCAAACCCCACCGGGAGCAAGACCGAAUAGGGGCGACGCGGGCUCUGGCCCAGUCUUUUCCGGACCAGUCGCCCGGGUUGGUUGCGCGAGGCGUCCGGCAACGGGCGUCCCAGACGAAUGGCCGCCACGUGGGCGAAAGCCCGCCAUACAGAACCCGGCUUACAGGCCGACUGGCGUU